UUGCAAUAUAAACUUAAAUAUAUACUUUA
rnacentral:piRNA from 1 species